rnacentral:rRNA from 1 species
GGAGGGUCAUUACAGAGUUGCAAACUCCCUAAACCAUUGUGAACGUUACCCAAACCGUUGCUUCGGCGGGCGGGCGCCCAGCGCGCCCCCCCGGCCCCCUCGCGGGGCGCCCGCCGGAGGUACCCCAAACCAUUUGAUAUUUAUGGCCUCUCUGAGUCUUCUGUACUGAAUAAGUCAAAACUUUCAACAACGGAUCUCUUGGUUCUGGCAUCGAUGAAGAACGCAGCGAAAUGCGAUAAGUAAUGUGAAUUGCAGAAUUCAGUGAAUCAUCGAAUCUUUGAACGCACAUUGCGCCCGCCAGUAUUCUGGCGGGCAUGCCUGUUCGAGCGUCAUUUCAACCAUCAAGCCCCCGGGCUUGUGUUGGGGACCUGCGGCUGCCGCAGGCCCUGAAAAGCAGUGGCGGGCUCGCUGUCACACCGAGCGUAGUAGAUUUUAUCUCGCUCUGGGCGUGCUGCGGGUUCCGGCCGUUAAACCACCCUUUUAACCCAAGGUUGACCUCGGAUCAGGUAGGAAGACCCGCUGAACUUAAGCAUAUCAAUAAGCGGAGGAA